GUUUUUAGUCCCCUGCUUUUCAAUCUACAAACUUCACAACUUGGACCUUUGUCCCUUACAUCUUUGGUUCUCCUUUUGGUCACAAUAAAAUGGGGACAAUGGCUUCAGCCUCAGAGUAAGACUGGGGAGAAAGUGGGAUUGCCCAAACAGGGCAAGCUGGACACAGAGAGUUGUCAGAGAACAUCCCAAGCAGGAAGAGUAACACAGGACAAGACGUAGCGGGGACAGUCCUGAUGUGAACGACGCAGGGCUCAGUAGGGUAGAACCGGAGCUUGCCCUGCCUCUUCCUGCUUCCCGUAUCCGUGUCCUUAUGAAGGAAAGAAUCCUAGAAGCUUGGAGCUUCAAGAGGUGGGCUCAUAAAACACGAGUGGCAGGAAGUUGGGUUCAAAUUGUGUUUUUAUGUCAUAACUUCUGCAUGAAAACCAAAGUCUGCAAUCUUAGACAAGAAUAAAAUGUCUCUUGGUUUCAGUUCCCCCACUUGUAAAAUGGAUAAACAGAUGCAUAUGUUUCAUGCAUUAUUCAAUAAGAUAAUGCAUGCUAUGAAUUCAUCAUAAUUGUUGUUCACACAGUGAACAGCACACAAAGGUAACAAGGGAAUGUGGAGAACACUACUUAUGACCACACCACCUCUCUUCCCUCUCAUUUCUCUCUCUGUCUUACAAUGAUAUCAACUACAUGAAAACAGGUUUCCCUCCUUAAAUCUUACCUAUCUAAUGUGGACACCAAAGAUAUACCAUACUAGAGAAGAGGUCGCAUGUUCAUCUCAUAGAAUUAUCCCCCAGCCACCUAGACCCCUCCAUGAUCAAGAGAUAAAUCCUCCCCAUUCCACUCAUCAAUUGCUCACUGCUUUGUUGCCUUCUGUUUGGAGAGACAUAGUAGAUAGACAACGAC
rnacentral:lncRNA from 1 species